UGGUGAGGGCAUUUGCGAUGUAACUCUUUAAAUCUUUCCCAUGCCUCGUAUAAGGAUUCAUCAUCCAUUUGUUGAAAAGUGAUGAUCUCAUUUC
rfam:Gossypium raimondii Chr02_contig_823, whole genome shotgun sequence.